GACGAACCGAGCGAACGUUGUUCGGAAUCACUGGGCUUAAAGGGCGCGUAGGCGGAUUUGCAAGUCCGUGGUGAAAUCCCACAGCUCAACUGUGGAACUGCCUCGGAUACUGUGAGUCUCGAGGGUGGUAGGGGUAUGCGGAACUAUCGGUGGAGCGGUGAAAUGCGUUGAUAUCGAUAGGAACUCCGGUGGCGAAGGCGGCAUACUGGACCACUUCUGACGCUGAGGCGCGAAAGCCAGGGGAGCAAACGGG
rnacentral:rRNA from 2 species